UAAGGAAUAUUGGUCAAUGGACGAAAGUCUGAACCAGCCAUGCCGCGUGAAGGAUGAAGGUCCUCUGGAUUGUAAACUUCUUUUAUCUGGGACGAAACGCCUGUUUUCUAACGGGUCUGACGGUACCAGAUGAAUAAGCACCGGCUAACUCCGUGCCAGCAGCCGCGGUAAUACGGAGGGUGCAAGCGUUAUCCGGAUUCACUGGGUUUAAAGGGUGCGUAGGCGGGCAUGUAAGUCAGUGGUGAAAUCUCAGAGCUUAACUCUGAAACUGCCAUUGAUACUAUGUGUCUUGAAUUUCCUGGAGGUUAGCGGAAUAUGUCAUGUAGCGGUGAAAUGCUUAGAUAUGACAUAGAACACCGAUUGCGAAGGCAGCUGACUACGGGUAGAUUGACGCUGAGGCACGAAAGCGUGGGGAUCAAACA
rnacentral:rRNA from 1 species